rnacentral:tRNA from 1 species
GGUCCCGUAGUGUAGUGGAAUCACUCCGGACUUUGAAUCCGGCAACCGGAGUUCGAAUCUCCGCGAGACCA